AGCCUGAAUGUACUGUAAGUCGCUUUGGAUAAAAGCGUCUUGGUAAAUGCAUAAAUUUAAUUUAAUAUGUGAAUAUUUUGUUCAUUGUUAAACCGUAUAGAGAUGUGAAACUGAGCAGGGAAAGUGACAUUUGGAACGACUCUCGCUGAACUUUUACGUUUCUUCCGAUCUUGUGACGAUCUGUCUGUCGUUCGUCGGAAUGAAAGUGUCUUGCGAUGUGUUUUGCCGCAGCUGCUGUGUUUCUGUAGGAGUUACAGUGUUGGUGAUUCAGCGGCUGGAAUCGAAAGCGACACAAGAGAAGUGAAAGCACCUGACGGGGAUUUCAGAACUGUAACUGGGAUUUUUCUGAGGUCACCAAGAGUAUGCCGUUACCCACAAUCCACUGCGUGAUUCUCGUGCCAAUACGGAUGAUGUUCCCAAAUGCUGGUCUGGAUCCCUGAGAGGCCUGUGGACACACAGAUAUCAUGCAGCCGAGUAAAAAGUAAAUCUGAUGGACAAUAACACUGAUGCAUCGUUUCCAGGAAAGACCUCCGUGAUAUCGACCCCUCCUGUGUCUGCUGUCUCUCUUCUGCUCUUAUUAAAGACACAGCGUGCUGCAGUCAGAAUACA